GAUGAAUGUAUGUAUGCAUGUAAACCAUAAAAUGAUGAAUGGAAGGGUUGCUGUUCUCGUAGUCACCUGGGAUUUUCCAAGUCUUUAAUGUUCUUAAUCAGAGGAAGACUGUUGCAAAAACUCGUUCGACUAAUUUUGUGCUAAAAUUGAACUUUCUGGUCAACGUGUUUAUAAAUGUAGUAUUUGAUCUGCAAGAGCAGGCAUUCCUUGCUUUGCUUGGAGGAUUUGGCUAAAACAUUGAUAUCACUUAGAUCUUUUCCAUGGGUAUCGCACGGAGCUUGAAGCAGGCUAUAAAGCUUGAGGCUCCGAAUUAGAAAAGCCAUUGCCUCAUUUUUCUUCGCGAGGCACAGUGUUCUCUCAACCUUUUCACUUUUGUGUCCCCAUUGCAUUGCAUGUGGUCGCGAGCGGGGAAAAUUUGGCAGGUUUUAGACUCCAUCAAGAUUUAGUGGUGCAAACGUUCGACGCCGUGAUGGUGGUGUUUGGAUGUUUAGAGAUCGACAGCCUUGUUUUCUUUUCUUUUCUUUUAUUUAUUCUAUUCUAUUCUAUUCUUCUUAUUUUAGAGGAAUAGAAAUGCUCCUCCCAAGUAUAUAUUUGCGAGGCUACCUUUUGGUGAAGAAUUCUUCAGAGAAGACGAUGUGUUGUAUAUAGUAUAUAUCCCCAGGGCCAGGGGGUCUUACGAUCCGGUCAUUUAAAUGUGGGAGGGGUAAUGGCUGCUGCCCUCGUCUGCCGCCCACUCCCAUUCCCUUCUGUCCCUCUCCCGUCCAAGUCGUCCGAGCUAAAGCAGCUCCUCCUUCUCUUCCUCCCUCAACGAUGCCAUCCUCCCAAGCCCAUCCAUGCCCGCGCCCUCCGCCUCGGCCUCAUCCAAGACUCCCAUCUCAUCUACCACCUCCUCGCCUCCUACUUCGACGCCGGCCACCCCUCGCACGCCUGCCUCCUCUUCCAUGCUGCCGACCAUCCACGGAACAUCUUCCAUUGGAAUGCCAUGAUCCGCGGCCUCGUCUCCGUCGACCAAACGGAAGAUGCCGUCCAAUUCUAUGCCACUAUGCGCCGGUGGGGCCCGUCUCCGGACAACUUCACAUUUCCUUUCGUUCUCAAGGCCUGUGCUAGGCUUCGAUUCCUUGAAGGUGGGACAAAGAUUCAUGCACACGUUAUAAAAACAGGGCAUCAGGUAGAUGUGUUUGUGAAGACCAGCUUGGUCUCCUUUUAUGCAAAAUGCGGCUUAUUGAAUACUGCGCACAAGUUGUUCGAGGAUAUGCCCGUGAGAAACGUUGUUUCUUGGACUUCGAUCAUUAGUGGUUAUAUUGGUGGUGGAAAGCUGGAAGAGGCGCUCGACAUGUUCAGAAGCUCGUUGGAUAUGGGUUUGGUGCCAGAUGGUUUCACUUUGGUCAGGAUACUGACUACUUGUUCCCAUUUAGGGGAUAUGGAGACUGGGGAAUGGAUACAUAGAUAUGCAGAGGACAAGGGCAUCGACAACAACGUGUUUGUUGCUACUUCACUAGUCAACAUGUAUGCUAAAUGUGGAAGCAUGGAGAAGGCUCGUGCUGUCUUUGACAAGAUGGUUGUGAAGGAUGUUGUGUCCUGGAGUGCAAUGAUCUGUGGGUAUUCCUCCAAUGGGCUUCCUCGAGAGGCUUUAGAGCUUUUCUUCAAAAUGCAGAAUACUAAUGUGAGACCGGAUUGCUAUACCAUGGUUGGAGUGCUUUCGGCUUGUGCCAGAUUAGGAGCCCUUGAACUAGGUCAACAGGCAAGCCAAUUAAUGGAUGCGAGUGACUUCCUUAUGAACCCAGUACUAGGGACAGCACUGAUUGAUAUGUAUGCCAAAUGUGGAAGUAUCGUUCGAGCUUGGAGUAUCUUUAAGAGGAUAAUGGAAAAAGACCUUAUAGUUUGGAAUGCAAUGAUAUCUGGUUUCGCCAUGACUGGCCAUGGGAAGCUCUCCUUUGGGCUUUUCGCUCAGACUGAGAAGCUGGGCAUUCAACCCGAUGGGAAUACUUUCAUAGGCCUUCUUUGCAGCUGUUCACACACUGGACUAGUGGAAGAUGGACGGCGGUACUUUGACGGCAUCAGUAGGGUUUACUGCUUGACACCUAGAGUUGAGCACUAUGGUUGUAUCGUUGAUCUAUUUUGCCGUGCUGGAUUGUUAAAUGAGGCUUAUCAAUUGAUAAAUGAGAUGCCUAUGGAGGCUAAUGCUGUUGUUUGGGGAGCUAUGCUGGGUGGCUGCAAGUUGCAUCGUGAUACCAAACUGGCCGAGCACGUGUUGAAGAAGCUUAUUGAGUUAGAGCCACAAAAUUCUGGGAAUUAUGUUCUGCUAUCUAAUAUAUACUCUACAACUGAGAGAUGGAAUGACUCUGCAAGACUAAGGUUGGUCAUGAAGGAGAAAGGAAUACAAAAGACACCUGGGUGUAGUUGGGUUGAGCUAAAAGGUGUGGUUCAUGAGUUCCAUGUAGGGGACAUAUCCCACCCACUGUCUAAUGAGAUUUACUCUAAGCUUGAUGAGUUGGGUAGGAAGUUAAAGCAAAGAGGGUACAUGCCAACAACAGAAGUGGUCUUGUUUGACAUAGAAGAGGAAGAGAAAGAGCAUUCACUUGGGCAUCAUAGUGAAAAACUGGCUAUUGCUUUUGGUCUGAUCAGUAUGGGACCAGAAGACACAAUCAGAGUAGUGAAGAACCUUCGUGUUUGUAACGAUUGUCAUGCAGCAAUAAAGCUCAUUUCAGACAUUACUAACCGUGAGAUUGUAGUUAGAGACAACAACAGAUUCCACUGUUUUAAAGAUGGCUCCUGUUCAUGUAAUGAUUAUUGGUGAACAAGAUCAUCAUAAUCUAAAACAAGGAUCAACAAACUUGGUAUACUUCAAGACAAGUGGAUUUUUGAGAUAUGCUCCAUUGAUAUUUUAAAAAGCAUAUGAGAACAACCAACCAGAGAGAAGAUAAUUUUUUACACAGGUUAGUCUUAUUCUGCAAUCUUAUGUAAACUAAACCUAGGCAAUAUAUUUCUUCUUUUGCAUUAACUCCUUGUUGCAUAAAUGCAGUCCUAUCAUUUGUUAUUUCCUUUGUGUUUUUGUGUCAUUUACAUGCCACAUGGUUUUAGCUGCAAUUACUAGAACUGCUGAAAGCACAUAUUUGUUCAAUUGACUUUUUGGACCACAGGCAUCUUACCAGUAUUAGUUGGGUAAUGGAGCAUAUGUUUUCUCUCAAAAAGCUGUAUCUUAACAAAAGGCAUCCUGUUACACCAGAAUAAAAUGUGGCAAAUCAACCAGGAGUAUGUUCAAACUGUUUCUUGGUCUUAUGACAGCCUACAACUGCUCAUGGCCAUCUUUUUCCCUACAUUUUUGCUUUUAGACAAUCCAUAUGUUUGACAAGUCUGAACAAUUUUUUGCACAUCCCAAGUGCCCCGAACCUGUUCUAAAGUGAAUAUUUCCAUCUGUCAUCUAAACAUAGACUAGAAAAUUCCCUCUGUUCGCACUGUUGCAUCUUUCUUUUCUCCAUGUAUAGGGUUUUCAGGGUUCAAGGAUGCCCAUAAGCUUCUACCAGCUGAAUGUGCCUCUUCCUUCCAUCAAGAUCCUAUGCAUCCUAUGAAGUAAGCCAUAGUGAUAAUAAAUAAGUCACCAAUCUCAUCUACAACUGAAAGUAUUAAACCUCAGGAAAGUUGCUGCACUGUCAUGUUAACAAUUUAGGAACAUGUUUUCCUCUGUGUUUUAGCGAGAGAUAUUCUUUUCCCCUUAACCCUGAAUCAUUAACACGGUGAGCCACACCUAACUAACACUGGGGCAUGUGUCCCACUUUCACAUGAAAUGUGCUAUGAACAUGUUCAAGUGGACAAGAAAGUCAUGGUCAAUUUUAAGGGUAAUAUGCAGACUCCUCAUUCAUCUGUCACCAUGUGCUACCACAAUUGUAGCUUCUUUUGUGGAGAAUUGCUCCAACUCACCAAAACUUAUUGGUCUGCACUGGGACUGUAUUUGAGAGUCCACGCUUGCUGGAUGAAGAUACAGCCAUGACAUACCAAAUCUACUCCCAUGAAAAUGGUACAUGAAUAAUUUUUUUCUUUUGUUGUUGCAAGAGAUCCAUUUAGGAGGAGAAAAUUUUGCAGAGGAAGACUUCGGGACAUUCAUAUGAACCCUUUCACACUGAAGUAGCACCAGCCAAUGGGACACAAUUACAGUCAAGGGACCUAGUCAACAGGAUGUAAAUUUUUUCUUUAAUUUAAUUUCUUUCAAAUAAAUUAUCUUGCUAGAAAUACUAAUUAUGAAUAUCUUUUUCUAACCCAGCCUAUUUUGUCGGUACCUAAAAUUCAGAUAAAUGGGAUUUAGGUACUACCUAUCUUUGUUUAGUACAUGGUAAGCUAAUCUUGAUGCAGGAAAUACGAAAUACUUCACACCUCAUAUCAAGUACGGAAGUGGUACCAGCUCAGUCAUAUUUUUGGUAAACGUUUCUUUAAUGCUUAAUUUUUGCUGUUGUAGAAGUAAUUGAUAAUCUAGUUUUGUCAGCAUAAGUUUUGGCUUUUUUUGGGCACUGCUACAUGAUUAAUCUACAAACUGAGAACAUAGCCUGACAGCUAUUUGGACAACAUUUUUUUGGUUGACAUGAAUAAAGAAAUAAAUCCACACACCGAGACUUUAGCCUGACAGCUAGCUUAAGAACAUUAAAUUUCAAAAUGAUUAAGAAAAUAUGCCAGAUCCAUCAACCCACUUCUUAGUUGUCACAAAGAUUUUUUAUAUGGAUGCACCUGAUACCACAUAAAAACAAGCUUUUUUGCAUUCUUAUAUUAAAGAUUCUCUGCUGACAAGAUGAUUUCGAGCUAUAAUUAACUAUAAACUAGAAAGGAAUCAAUUAGCUGUAGCUGACAAGCCUUGGUAUUAUAUAUUGCAUCUCUGUUUCUUAUAUAGGGAAAUCUGCAGCUCAGUAAUCAAAUGUGCUGAGAGAGAGAGAGAGAGAGUUAUAAUUCUGACAAUCAAUCUAUUCCAGAUGUCGAGGAGAUGAAACCUGAAAACCAAAUCUAAGAUCAGGCUGCUUGCGUGCUCUGUGUGCAAUCAUUGACCAGUUGAUAUGCAAUAACAUUAAUUGCUUAGGUUUUGCAGACUGAACAUUUGUGAUUUAAGGGCUACUUGCUGCAUCGUGAUGAACUCCAAUAUGUUACCAUAAGCCACGAUGCAUGCACUCGGUCACCAUAUAUUUUGUGUUUAUUGACUUAAUACUUGAGAAGAGCAGAGUCAUGUUCCCAUGUGUUUCCAAUCAAAAAAUUUAAAACCUUCAGAUCUGUCCUAUAGCCAUCAAACAAAUUGUAUGGGCCUCCGAGUAACAAUGCCACCUCAAUUAUCUACUCUGAAAAAGACAGUAGUCUGAUGAAGGCUCGUUGAAGGCUGCAAAGAAGUUGAUCUUAUCAACUACGGUAUUGGGCUCCCACUCCAGAGUUUGUAGACGGUCUUGGUAAUCAAGAGUAGCAGUUCUUGAGGUAUGAUCUAACUUGAAGGUGGAAAUAUUCCUCUCUGAUGACUAUUUAAUAUUUUUGAGGUAUGAUUUGGCUAUUUCUUUUUCCCAAGAGAAUGAAAGAGUAGCAGCGCUGCUUUAAUGUUAGAUGCAUACGAUUUGUGCAUCAAGCAUAGGAUUAUGUUUGGUGGCAAUAUAUGCAAUAGCUUUCUUUUGGAAGAAAAUGUUUUCAGUUACUCUUUAGUAAGUGAUAUGUUGCCAGAAAUAUAUGUUGAAUGAAUCUGCUGAGGAAUACUGUCGGCAGCUCAAUUUAACAUCUCACGCUUUUGCAAUGGGAUGGUUUCGUGACAUGGAUUUGACUCUUUUUUAAUCUCUUGAAUGUGAUAUCUAUAAUGGUUGACGUUUCUUUCCCAUUUUGCUCCAACUGAUGUGUCUUUUUCUCUCUGAAGAAUAGAUUACAAAAGGAUUCACAGCUUCCACUUUUUCUUUUUCAUCAAGUGGCAGGAAAAAAAUCAAAGGUGGCAACGAUUAUAUCUACAUAGGAAAUAGAGAGAAAAGAAAAAUGGGAACAAGUAACCAAAGUCAGCGCGCGAUCAGCACUGAGAGACCACCAAAAAAACUGUCACCCCAUGAAGCCUCUACGACCCACCGACACUUGGAUGCUAAAGUCUUGUUCUCCGUUCAUUCAGUCCUCUGAUAUGCUCUCAAGACGCGGCCUCCAGACGCCCACCUGGCCGCUCCUCCGCCGGCGGUGCCGAACCUUCUUUUCCGAAAGGACCUGCCUCAGGCAGCUGUCAUGGCCCAAUUCCUGGACGACAGCAGUGCUGCCACUUUUCUGGUCCGAGUCCGGCGACACGAUCAAGAUCUUGGUGGUGACGCCUUGAGAGCACGGCUUGCUUAAGAUGUGGUCCGGGUUGGCUGCUAGAAUUUCUCCGGCGGAGACCUGGCGGCAGCUGUACUCCUCGACUUGGCCAUCGAGAUGGACGAUUCGGAUGACGUCCAGCGCGCCGCAGGGAAGAAUGCAAGCCAAGCAGCACCUGAGGCUGUUGCCCAUCGUCUCUUUCUCUUCUUCUUAUUCGACUUAAUAAUAUCCCCCCCUCCCCCUCCCCCUCCCUCAUGCGUCGCUUCCUGCUGUGAGCCUGCUGAGGGUUAUAUAGAUGUUCGGCACUGGAACUUAGCCGUAAACUAAAGCUGAAGGCCAUGCUGUGCUGCGUUACGACAAAAAAGGGCCACAUUAUAGAAUGAAUGGUGUACCCAUCCCCGAGUGUAUGUAUGACACAGAGCUGGCAUGAUAGAUAGAUAGAUAGAUAAAUGUUAACCUUUGUUUGA